UGGGGAAUAUUGCGCAAUGGGCGAAAGCCUGACGCAGCCAUGCCGCGUGUGUGAAGAAGGCCCUAGGGUUGUAAAGCACUUUCAAUUGGGAGGAAAGGUUGCUGGUUAAUAACCAGUAGCUGUGACGUUACCUUUAGAAGAAGCACCGGCUAACUCCGUGCCAGCAGCCGCGGUAAUACGGAGGGUGCGAGCGUUAAUCGGAAUUACUGGGCGUAAAGCGCGCGUAGGCGGUUGUUUAAGUCAGCUGUGAAAGCCCUGGGCUUAACCUGGGAACUGCAGUUGAUACUGGCCAACUAGAGUGCGAGAGAGGGAGGUAGAAUUCCACGUGUAGCGGUGAAAUGCGUAGAUAUGUGGAGGAAUACCGGUGGCGAAGGCGGCCUCCUGGCUCGACACUGACGCUGAGGUGCGAAAGCGUGGGGAGCAAACA
rnacentral:rRNA from 1 species